AGCGUAGGCGGAUAGUUUAGUCAGAGGUGAAAGCCCAGGGCUCAACCUUGGAAAUGCCUUUGAUACUGGCUAUCUUGAGUAUGGGAGAGGUAAGCGGAGUUCCGAGUGUAGAGGUGAAAUUCGUAGAUAUUCGGAAGAACACCGGUGGCGAAGGCGGCUUACUGGCCCAUUACUGACGCUGAGGCUCGAAAGCGUGGGGAGCAAACA
rnacentral:rRNA from 1 species